rnacentral:lncRNA from 1 species
AUGAGAAAGAGACAAAUCAGAUUCUGGAUCAAAACCAUAUAUAUAGACAAACCAAUGCAUGUCCAUUUCAUUCACAGCGCAACACCACAAGUUUGCCACAAGUUUGAAAAAAGACAGAAAGAGGAGGCUUUAACUUUGUCUUGCAUUGAUUUCAUGAGAGCUGUAAGAAUAAGCAAGCAGCUCUGAUUCCGCCCUCUUCAAUGCCAUCAAAGAGGCCACUUCUUCCAAAACGAGGCUCCCUUAAUACCACUAAACUAGACCUCAGAUGCAGUAAUGUGAGAUAGAGCAAAUGUAGUCUUUUGAUAUCAAACAAAACCAAUUUUUUCCGUUUCAUCCUUCCCUGUCUGCGCCGUUGAUAUGCUUGGGCUUCUGGGGGUUGUAUAUCCCGGAGCAGUUGCAGAUCCGAGGCUGGUGGCCUCCGUUCUUGAGAUUCGGUGAGGCGGUGUGGCGAGUGGGUGUGCGUAGUCGGAUUUUAGGGUAAAUUCCUCUCUUUGAUCUGGUUUUCUCCUUUUUCAGAUCUGGUGGGGUGUUUGUGCGGUGGAGACGUGUGUUUAGUAGGUUGCUCUCUCCUUGGUCUCUAUGGUCUGAAUCCGAAGUUUAUCUUCGUGUGGAGAGGGGCGUUUUGCUCUUCGUCUUCCCGGCGCUAGGGUUUUGGUGUCUUCAUGCGGUCUGCUCUGCUCAAGGGAGACGACAUGUACGGUUAUCUGUCGGUUCGUGCACAUGGUUUGGAUGGUCGUGUGGCUAUCGUUUCUUAUGUGGGCUUGUGUCUGCAUUUUCUGUGGCGUGGUUAGGGUUUGUCGUCUAUGGCUUGCUUGUCUCCGUCACCGAGGUUGCUCUCCUUUUGCUUCCUCUCUCAUGAAUCUGGUCGAGUGUGCUCUACUCUCUUUGUGAGUGGUUAGGGCUUUUGUUGGUUCCGCUUCAUGUUCGCCAUGCUCUAACAAGGGUGUUUGUGAAGCGCUUAAAGACCGGAGCAGGUUCUUUGUUUUGGAUCAGGUCGUUGUCUUGUAGCUCCGGUUGGGUCUGUCGGUGGUGUGGACGGCGGGGUCUCCUGGUUAGGGAAUGGUCAUCCCAGUGCUUGGUCGGCCUCUUGGCUUGCUCAGCAGAUUAUUCCCUUUCUUUUGGCAGGAUCCGAAGAUCUCGUUUCAGAUUUGUCUCCAUCGCAGCCUGUUGAAUAAAGCUCGGCUGUCUCGUGGGUGUGUUUAGUCUCUGGUCUAGCGGUUUGUGCGUGUUGGAUUUGGAUUCGAAGGUCAUUAGCGAGCUGUUCUUAGAUGGACCUUAUCUUAAAGACAUGUUCAUCGGGUACGCCAACUUUUACCAGGUUCAGGAUCUCGUAUUCACUGCGGUUCAUCUUUUUGCGGCAAGCGACUUGUUCCGACUCUGAUGGGUCCUCUGUGUGGACUAGUUAGCUAGUUGUAUUAUCCCUUGCUUGUUCAGUUAGUGCUUAUGUCUAGUUAGUUUAGUUGUAUUUUAAUUAUCUGUUUUUUGUUUUCUCUAUAAUUCUGUCAAAAACUAAAAUUGGUAACAAAAUCUUAACAUUUUUACCAGAAAAAAAGUCAGAUUUAAUAAUAUAUAUAUAUCUUAACUUGAUAUAUAGUUGUUACAAAUAAAUAAAGUGGAUAUA